rnacentral:lncRNA from 1 species
UGAGGUCACAUCAUCCCCAGCCUCACACUUCUGACCCCUUCUCUUCAUGACGUGCUCCACUCAUUCUGUCUCAGCUGAGCCUUGCACACUUUACUCUUGCUCUUCUACCAAAAGCUGAACUCAGGAAAUUUUCAGGAAUUUGGUUAUACGCCCAGAAGAUACUGAGCUGGUACCGAAUUAACAGUUCUUAGAAUGAACUUCCGCUUGAUCUCAGGAUAGCAGCCUAAGCAGAAGGAGGAGGAAAUCUGGGGCAAAUGAUUACAAUAGCAGGAACUGUAAGAUAAAAUUUGAUGCUAUCUUUUCAGCACUCAACCAAUUCAGAGGUGAUGGAAUAGGGACCCAGGGUUUUCCAGAAACCAAGAGUAAUUCUAAAAGGCAAGACCUUAAGGGACAUCCUCUUCUUUGGCCGUCAAAGCAACCGGAGCUGUCACUGGGAUUAGCAGACAGAGGAUCAUGACGGGGUUCUCUUUAGCUAUGAAACGAGGAAGAAGAAAAUCUUCUCUUAACAAUAAUAUACAUGUGCCAUGAGAGAGAUGAAGCAGAAGAUUAAGCAAGAAACCCAGCUAUUUUAUUGCCCUAAGGCAUUACUCAUUUUCCUGACACAUUAUGUUUUUAAUUAAAAUUGCAUGUGAGUUAAUUAAAA